rnacentral:rRNA from 1 species
UACGGGGGGGGCAAGCGUUGUUCGGAAUUACUGGGCGUAAAGGGCGCGUAGGCGGUGCUCUAAGUCGGAUGUGAAAACUCUGGGCUCAACCCAGAGCCUGCAUCCGAAACUGGAGUGCUAGAGUUCUGGAGGGGGUAGCGGAAUUCCUGGUGUAGCGGUGAAAUGCGUAGAUAUCUGGAGGAACACCGGUGGCGAAGGCGGCAUCCUGGACCGACACUGACGCUGAGGAGCGAAAGCCAGGGGAGCAAACGGG